rnacentral:rRNA from 1 species
UACGUAGGAGGCAAGCGUUGUCCGGAGUUACUGGGCGUAAAGCGCACGUAGGCGGCUUUGUAAGUUAGAGGUGAAAGCCCAGGGCUUAACCCUGGAAUUGCCUUUAAGACUGCAUCGCUAGAAUCGUGGAGAGGUAAGUGGAAUUCCGAGUGUAGAGGUGAAAUUCGUAGAUAUUCGGAAGAACACCAGUGGCGAAGGCGACUUACUGGACACGUAUUGACGCUGAGGUGCGAAAGCGUGGGGAGCAAACAGG